GACGAACGCUGGCGGCGUGCUUAACACAUGCAAGUCGAACGGAAAGGCCCUGCUUGCAGGGUGCUCGAGUGGCGAACGGGUGAGUAACACGUGGGUGAUCUGCCCCUUACUUUGGGAUAAGCCUGGGAAACUGGGUCUAAUACUGGAUAGGACCAUGCUGUAGGGGGUGUGUUGGAAAGAUUAGUUUCGGUAGUGGAUGAGCUCGCGGCCUUUCAGCUUGUUGGUGGGGUAUGGGCCUACAAAGGCGUCGACGGGUAGCCGGCCUGAGGGGAUGGACGGCCGCGUUGGGACUGAGAUACGGCCCAGACUCCUGCAGGAGGCCGCAAUGGGGAAUAUUGCGACAUGGGAGCCAGCCUGAUGCAACGACGCCGCGUGGGGGCUGACGGCCUUCGGGUUGUAAACUCCUUUCGGCCAUGACGAAGCCCUUGUGGUGACGGUAGUGGUAGAAGAAGCACCGGCUAACUACGUG
rnacentral:rRNA from 1 species